AAUUUAUUACACUCGCCUGAUAGCACCUCACAGAGCAAAAACUCCCAAGAACCUCCAUCUUCGACUCUCUGCUCAGCCUCCCAAGAACCGUAGAGGGUCUGCUCAGCAUCCCAAGAAACCUAGUCGUCCUCUCAAUCUCUCAAUCUUCGACUCUCUGCUAAGCCUCCCAAGAACCCUAGAGGGUCUGCUCAGCAUCCCAAGAACCCUAGUCACCCCCUCAAUCUUCGACUCUCCGCUCUUGUCCGUGAGUAUUUCGCUACCUCCCCAACUCGACGCCUUCCAUCAACAGAAGAAGAAGGUGAAGAAGGAAGGUCCCUCGUCCAUUUGUUUCUUUUAAUACAAGCCUCUGGUAGUGCAUAUGGAACUUACUUCCUCGUUGCAAAAUUUGGAGAAUCUCAUGGUGGUGGUGUAGGGUGUGUGAUUGAUGUAGGCCCUCUUAGAUUUCCCCUCUCACAAGAUGAUAUGCAAGUGGAUCUAGAUAGAAGUCACAAGAAGGAAGUGGUAUCCAUGGAGGGAUUGCACAUACGGAAAAUGCACGGUGUCAACUGUUGCAUUGGUACGUAUUUGAAGAAGAAGAAAUUGUAGCAGAAGGAAGGAUUGCAUCGACAGACGCAAGUGCAACGGUCCAUCACAUACCAGUCGGACGAGAUUGUUAGAAGGUUUGGGUUGAGGAAGUGUAUAUGGGCCAUUUGAACUUAUAUAGACCUACCGAUAAAUUUCGAUAGCUUAGUGAAGCCAUAGGAAGUACAAUUGCUUGGCCAAAGAGCAAUAUUAGACUUAUUUGACAAGUUGGUUGCUUUUGUAUGUGGAAUAAUUCAUCUCAAGACUCAAUCCUCGUCAAACAAAAAAAAUUUGGCGAAAGUCCUGGAAUUUUAGCAUGGAUGAAGGUGGUUGGUGAAUACUAGCUCGGGCUUUCUUUUUUGUAAAAUUUGGUGAAAGUCCUUUGUAAAGUUUCCAAACUCGACUAAUCAAUUGUCACAUGGCUAAGCUAGAGAUUCAUGAUCUUAUUUUGUAAUUAGGAUUUAAGUUUUUUGCAACUCAUAUCAGAUCCAUAUUUUGUAAUUAUGAGUCGUGAGAUGAAUUGCAAAAGUUUUCUUUAUGGCAAUCA